CGCUUGAUAAGCGUGAGGUCGGAAGUUCAAGUCUUCCCAGGCCCACCACUUUCAUCGAGUGUAGGCAUUCGUCUUCUGGUUACGGGGCCAUAGCUCAGCUGGGAGAGCGCGUGCUUUGCAAGCAUGAGGUCGUCGGUUCGAUCCCGUCUGGCUCCACCAGAUGGUUUGAUUGCCGGCGCAGCUUGCACCUAGGUCUCGCACCUAAAUCGUCCGCGAAACAUCACUUCGCACCCACCAGUCCGGAUGGACGGUGAGGUUGCGUGAUUUCUGACAUCGUAAAGAGGAGAUCGAUCCGAGUUGGAUCGUGCAGCAAAUCGUUGCGCGAGCCUUCAUUAUCUCCGGAUCAUUUCGGCGCUCGCUUUCAACCGUGAGGUUGGCGGUGAGUUGCAAAUGAUCCUUUUAGCGAAGCUUGACCGCCUCGCUAUCGGAACGAUCUUACGAAGCAAGCUGGUCUUUCUAGUCAAUGUCCGGCUGCGACAAUCGCGUUCAUCGAGGACGCGUGCCUUCAAUGGCAGUUGCGCAGACAACAUUCUGCCGAGUGUGUGGACAUUGAUAAUGAGAGCAAUCAAGUGCCUUAAGGGUGUUCGGUGGAUGCCUUGGCGCUGAGAGGCGAUGAAGGACGUGCUACGCUGCGAUAAGCCGUGGGGGAGCUGCGAAGAAGCUUUG
rnacentral:misc_RNA from 1 species